GGUCACUGUGUUGAGUACUGCUCCAAGGUGGUCAUUGUGUUGAGUACAGCUCCAAGGUGGUCAUUGUGUUGAGUACAGCUCCAUGGUGGUCACUGUGUUGAGUACUGCUCCAAGGUGGUCACUGUGUUGAGUACUGCUCCAAGGUGGUCACUAUGUUGAGUUCUGCUCCAAGGUGGUCACUAUGUUGAGUACUGCUCCAAGGUGGUCACUGUGUUGAGUACAGCUCCAAGGUGGUCACUAUGUUGAGUUCUGCUCCAAGGUGGUCACUAUGUUGAGUACAGUGGUCCCCCCAAGUACGUGGAUUUUAACUGCGCGGAACCCAACUAUGCGCAUCAAUGCCAUGCAACCCAAAUUCAAAAGUAUGCGGGGGUCCCAAGUACGUUGGCGUAAAUUUGUUUGUGGCAUGACCGAGUGAGGUACAGUGUUGCCGUAAAUCCACACUUGUGGAUGACGUCAAAAUCCUACACAUUUUUUCUGGGUGAUGUCGAUAUAUAGAAAAUGUGUCGUUGGAGUACAGUAC